rnacentral:rRNA from 1 species
CCUACGGGAGGCAGCAGUGGGGAAUAUUGGACAAUGGGCGAAAGCCUGAUCCAGCCAUGCCGCGUGUGUGAAGAAGGCCUUCGGGUUGUAAAGCACUUUCAGUGGGGAAGAAAGCCUUGGGGCUAAUACCCUCGAGGAAGGACAUCACCCACAGAAGAAGCACCGGCUAACUCCGUGCCAGCAGCCGCGGUAAUACGGAGGGUGCGAGCGUUAAUCGGAAUUACUGGGCGUAAAGCGCGCGUAGGCGGUCUGAUAAGCCGGUUGUGAAAGCCCCGGGCUCAACCUGGGAACGGCAUCCGGAACUGUCAGGCUAGAGUGCAGGAGAGGAAGGUAGAAUUCCCGGUGUAGCGGUGAAAUGCGUAGAGAUCGGGAGGAAUACCAGUGGCGAAGGCGGCCUUCUGGACUGACACUGACGCUGAGGUGCGAAAGCGUGGGUAGCAAACAGGAUUAGAUACCCCAGUAGU